GCGCCUGUAGCUCAGCGGACAGAGCAUUGGUCUUCGGAACCAAGGGUCGGGGGUUCGAAUCCCUUCAGGCGCGCCA
rnacentral:tRNA from 1 species